rnacentral:tRNA from 1 species
UCGGGACGUAGCUCAGCUUGGUAGAGCACCUGGUUUGGGACCAGGGGGUCGCAUGUUCAAAUCGUGUCGUCCCGAUCCA